UACAGCGAAACUGCGAAUGGCUCAUUAUAUAAGUUAUCGUUUAUUUGAUAGUACCUUACUACUUGGAUAACCGUGGUAAUUCUAGAGCUAAUACAUGCUAAAAAUCCCGACUUCGGAAGGGAUGUAUUUAUUAGAUUAAAAACCAAUGCCCUCUGGGCUCCUUGGUGAUUCAUAAUAACUUUUCGAAUCGCACGGCCUUGCGCCGGCGAUGGUUCAUUCAAAUUUCUUCCCUAUCAACUUUCGAUGUUUGGGUCUUGGCCAAACAUGGUCGCAACGGGUAACGGAGGGUUAGGGCUCGACCCCGGAGAAGGAGCCUGAGAAACGGCUACUACAUCCAAGGAAGGCAGCAGGCGCGCAAAUUACCCAAUCCCGAUUCGGGGAGGUAGUGACAAUAAAUACUGAUACAGGGCUCUUUUGGGUCUUGUAAUUGGAAUGAGUACAAUUUAAAUCUCUUAACGAGGAACAAUUGGAGGGCAAGUCUGGUGCCAGCAGCCGCGGUAAUUCCAGCUCCAAUAGCCGUAUAUUAAAGUUGUUGUGGUUAAAAAGCUCGUAGUUGAACCUUGGGCCUGGCUGGCCGGUCCGCCUCACCGCGUGCACUGGUCCGGCCGGGCCUUUCCCUCUGUGGAACCCCAUGCUCUUCACUGAGUGUGGCGGUGAAACAGGACUUUUACUUUGAAAAAAUUAGAGUGCUCCAGGCAGGCCUAUGCUCGAAUACAUUAGCAUGGAAUAAUAAAAUAGGACGCGUGGUUCUAUUUUGUUGGUUUCUAGGACCGCCGUAAUGAUUAAUAGGGACAGUCGGGGGCAUCAGUAUUCAAUUGUCAGAGGUGAAAUUCUUGGAUUUAUUGAAGACUAACUACUGCGAAAGCAUUUGCCAAGGAUGUUUUCAUUAAUCAGGAACGAAAGUUAGGGGAUCGAAGACGAUCAGAUACCGUCGUAGUCUUAACCAUAAACUAUGCCGACUAGGGAUCGGACGAUGUUAUUUUUUGACGCGUUCGGCACCUUACGAGAAAUCAAAGUGCUUGGGCUCC
rnacentral:rRNA from 1 species